rnacentral:lncRNA from 1 species
AUGGAUUCCAUAUUUUUGGAGAAAGCAAGAAAAAAAAAAUUAUUUGAAAAAGUUGUGGGAAAAAACAAUUUACUGACUAUUAAACUAAAUACGAAACGGUAUAUCUCUUUAUUUAUUUUGUUAUUUUUAUUUAUGACAUGUGUUAUGUCAUUUAACACUUACAUAGCUUACCGUUUUUCACCCACGUCAUUUUUUGUUAUAAUGAUACUGUUUUCGAUUGUUGUACUUGUAAUUAUUUACUUCAUUGGAUCUAAUCUAGCACUUUAUUAUAUUACGAAGAAUUCAAUUAGACAAGCAGAACAGAAAUUAGAGCUACAUAACCCGGACAUUGUUAUUGGAAUUUAUUUCGGGGCUGUUAUUGCUAUGAAUCUUAAUUACAAAAAUGGAAAAAAACCUUUGAUUCUUGUGUCCCCUUCUGUUAAAAUAUUUCAAAAAUUUACACACAACGAAAAGCUGAUUUGUCACUAUUCCCAUAUGUUAUAA